UACGUAGGGGGCGAGCGUUGUCCGGAUUCAUUGGGCGUAAAGAGCUCGUAGGCGGCUUGGUAAGUCGGGUGUGAAACCUCCAGGCUCAACCUGGAGACGCCACUCGAUACUGCAUGGCUCGAGUACUGGAGAGGUUGGUGGAAUUCUCGGUGUAGAGGUGAAAUUCGUAGAUAUCGAGAGGAACACCGGUGGCGAAGGCGGCCAACUGGACAGAUACUGACGCUGAGGAGCGAAAGCGUGGGGAGCGAACAGG
rnacentral:rRNA from 1 species